GACAGAGGGUGCAAACGUUGUUCGGAAUGACUGGGCGUAAAGCGCGUGUAGGCGGCCUCGCAAGUCGGGUGUGAAAGCCCUGGGCUCAACCCAGGAAGUGCACUCGAAACUGCAAGGCUUGAGUUCCGGAGAGGAAAGCGGAAUUCUCGGUGUAGAGGUGAAAUUCGUAGAUAUCGAGAGGAACACCUGCGGCGAAGGCGGGUUGCUGGGCUGACACUGACGCUGAGGCGCGAAAGCUAGGGGAGCGAACGGG
rnacentral:rRNA from 1 species